GUACCUACGGGACGCAGCAGUGGGGAAUAUUGCACAAUGGGGGAAACCCUGAUGCAGCGACGCCGCGUGAGUGAAGAAGUAUUUCGAUAUGUAAAGCUCUAUCAGCAGGGAAGAAAAAAGACGGUACCUGACUAAGAAGCCCCGGCUAACUACGUGCCAGCAGCCGCGGUAAUACGUAGGGGGCAAGCGUUAUCCGGAUUUACUGGGUGUAAAGGGAGCGUAGACGGCUGUGCAAGUCUGAAGUGAAAGCCCAGGGCUCAACCCUGGGACUGCUUUGGACACUGUGGAG
rnacentral:rRNA from 1 species